AAAAAAAAAAAUCUGAAAAGCCUGCAAAAGGAUCGAAGAGUGAAAACUAUUGUUGGACAGAGUUGGUUUUUACCUCAACAGCGCCACCUUUCGUCAAAGCAAUUCACAGUUGUAAGUUAAAGCCGCUCUCUCUUUGAAGACGCAUCUUUUAUAAUUUUUAUUAGAGGAUUCUUCCUUAGAUCAUAACACACAUCAUUUAAUGCAGUAUUUGUUUUGCACAAGAGAUGUGAAAGACCCAAAUGUUUUCUUGAAUGAGGAUGCACGGGAAGGUGUGUCAGCGUUUCCUCCAGCUCUUCUCUCUUUCUUCAUCUGACAAUGACACCCAGCAUGGCCUGGUGAACAGGAGGUGUUUAAUAAAUAGUUUUGUGUACACAUGAA